UGCUGUGAAACUGCCUGUGUCGAAAU
rnacentral:piRNA from 1 species